AAGAGCUGCAUGGCUGCCAUGGGCUGCCUGCCACAGUCACCAUCUGAGCAGCAGAAUUUUCCUGUCUGCUGGUUCCACUUUCAGACAGGCUGCACAGACAUAGCCCCCCGUGUGCUUCUAGUUGCUUGUACUACUGGAGAAAUUUGCACAUUCUAAAACAAGCUUGUGAUUUUUUUUUUCUAUUGCAGUUGUACCAGGACCCAUUUGCCCUACUGUCCCUGUCCCCACCACUGCCCACACCCCUACAGAUGAUUUCAGAGCUGCAGAAGUCAGAUGUGGGAUUAAUAAGUAAAUACUGCACCUUUAUUUCCUGAUUUCAAACCCAGAGUUCCCUGAGACUGCAGCUUUCUUCUGCAAGGGAAGGGUUAUAUAUCACAUAUUUAACAUCUUGGGGGGUUAAGUUUGGUUAGAAUUGCCUGCUCUGUGCACUGGAUGGGUGUUCCUAGAGAUGCUCAGUGCAGACACACACGUUAGUCUCAUGGGGCUGGGGAUAAAUGUUGCACUCCAUAAAGUCUGGUGAAUUUGAGCACUGCUGAUGCUUCAAUCCCUCUGCUGAAACCGGGGAUUCUGACAGGAUUUCCUGUGUAUCAACAGCUAUGAAAUACUGUACAUGUCACUGGCCUUCAUCUCUGGCAUCCUCCUGACUGUCCUGGUUUUUGCAAUCAUCUUCCUCUUCAGGAAAAGUGAGUGACACAGUCGAGGGCAUAGCAGCAGACUGAUGGUGGCUGCAGAAAUGGCUCAAAUAAUGUCUGCCUUGAAUGAUUGUGUGUUGGUGAACAGCUCAACCCUGGCAGUAACUCCUCAUGAAUUGUCCCAGUGGUGUUUUCAGGAAAGAAUUAACUUUGCCACUGAGGAGUUCUGGGGCUUUCUGUUGGUUGUGGCCUUUUCUCAUCCUAAUCCUGGCUGCACUGAAUUCAUCCUGGCCACUUCCAGCAGGUGGGCAGGGCCUGGGCAGCCCAAAGUGCCACUUUGCUGUGCAGGUGUGUGCCAGAGGUUACACAUCACCUGCCUGUCACCGUCUGCCCUCCCUUGCAAACACCUGAGACUGGGAUCCCUUUCCUUCCUAGGGUCUAAAAGAUGCCACCAAAAUUUACAAGAGGAAACUUUCUCCCAGAUGGCAGCUGAGGAAUCUGUUAGGAACACCCAGAAUGAAGUGACCUACAGCACUCUGGUCUUCCAGCGGGGCAGGACACCACUGCCUGUGUGAUGAGGAAGCUCCAAAUGGAAUAAAAACGAUCCCACUUUCUGGACA
rnacentral:lncRNA from 1 species